rfam:Ictidomys tridecemlineatus contig088421, whole genome shotgun sequence.
UGGGUUGUGGCUCAGUGGUAGAGUGCUUGCCUAGCAAGUUUGAGGCACUGGGUUUGAUCCUCAGCACCACAU